UGGUUUUGCAUCGUGGGUUCAUUGUAGCCCACUUUUUUUGUAAGUCAAUUGGUGUCUUUUGAUCAUUUCAUAGAUGAUCAUUUUUCAAUAUAAUUUUAUCCUUCCUUUGUAUUUCUUGAGGAAUUAUUUUCUGGUUAGUUAAUAUGCUCCUGUUUAUGAAAUUGUUUGUUUUUCUAUUUUCUGGUUAGUUAAUAUACUUAAAUAUUUUAUAGAUUUAGCAACUUAAGUACAUGGUAAUGUUCUGUCUUAGUUAUUAUUUGUCCAUUAUUUACAAGUUUAUGGAGUCAAGAAAUCUGCUUGUUUUGAAUUUUUCUUUGGAUUUCAAGAUAAAUCUUUAUCCAUUCCUUUGCCAUUGUUUGAAGCGAAAUAGUAUCUAAGUAGUAGAUUAAUCCUCAUAUCAUGCCUUAUUAUUUUUAUUUUUAUUUUUCUUGAUAUUCUCUUUGCUUCAUCUGGUGAAUAUUUAUAUACUCCUUUAUUUAUUGGUCUUUUCUAAAAAUGCUAGAUAUUACUAUUAUAUACAUGUUGACUUUGGUUCUUUGAUGUUAGAGUAUUGCGCUUACUGUGAUUCUUUUGUAUGAAUUGCAUUGGCAGAUGGGGCUGCUUUUUCAAAAUUGUUAUCUUGCUACUAUGUUUUUUGUUUCAGCUAUUGUGUCUUUAAAGACCAGAUUGAAUAACAAACGAAUUUGGAUCCAUCUGUUGAGAUGUUGAUCCUUUUACUGUGUUGUUCAUCCAGAAAUUAACUGCAUCUGGUGAACAGGAAUUUACCGUUUUUUGCUUUUCUUGAAGAUAUAAAGGUAUUUCUGCAUUAAACCUGCUUUACUACGAGGCAUCUGCACUCCAAAGAAGGUUGUUAAAGUAAUUUAUUUUACAUCAUCUGCGGUGACUGGUGGCAUGGAUUGUCUUCCAUGUGAAGAUAUCAGUGAAAAGAUCACCCCCACUUUCUUUUAGAGAGUUCUGAUUGGAAGGUCCGCUUGGAAUCUAUUGAAAGUGUGACCAAAAUUCUGGAAGAGGUGAACAAACGUGUUCUGCUGGCUGGAACUGGAGAUCUAUUUGGAGCUAUAAAAGGGCGUCUACACGACACUAACGAAAAUUUGAUUAUUGCUACUUUAUCCACAAUUGGUGCUCUCUUAUACUAUUAGUUAUUGUUUUAUUAAGAGUCUCUUGCGCUAACUAACUGAGAUUCACAAUACCAAUAUUAUAUAUACUUGGGAUCAUUUAACAAAUCCCGAAUUCCUCAAAGCCAAUAGCUGUACAUAUGCGUGAGUGGUCAUUGAGUACCUUAGAUACUUGGCUCUGCUCAUCCCAAUAAAAUGGUCUGUAGUCAAUUUGGAAAAUAGUGUUUUUCGAACUUCUGUUUUGAGUAUUGUUGACCUCAUCUUUUGUUGUGUCUACCAUUACCAUGUAUUUCAGCUGUUCUCACAGACGCUAGGAUAAAUCAGCAAAUGUUCGUAAAGCGGCUGAAGCAUACUUUAAUGUAUUGAGGGUUUGUGGACAAGAAACGGUAUCCAAGAAUUUGAGAGAUAUACAAGGUUCUACUUUAGCUAUUAUUGGCAAACAACUGAAGCCAUAUUAAGCUUUUCAAGAUAAUUAUGAAUCUGGUGGAUAUGUUUUGUUAAGCAUCACGGCAGAAAGCAUCCUAAAGACAGCAAAACCAAAUGGUCACGGUGACCGCGAAUCUUGGCAUGGAAGUAGAAAUGCACCUUCGUAUGUUUUAUGUGGUUAAUAUCUUUCUUCUGAACCAUAAUGUAUUUUUUAAUUGAUGUCCUGUGUAUUUAGAGAGUUGGCACCUAACAAGGGAUUCAUGCAAGAAUCCAUCUUGUCUGUUCAAGACAUCGAUAUUCAGUCAUGAGUUUUGAUCAGCAAGGAUGACAUGGAAAUGAUUAUUGUUUGCAGAUUCAAAUUCGAAGAAUUGCAUAUAGAGCACAUUCAAGAUCUUUCGUUUUGAGAUAAGGUACUUAAAUUUCAUCCCGGGCUUCUGGAUCUGUUGAAAAAUGAGGGCUACACUAUGACAGAAGCAGAUGCAACCCAUCUUUCUUCCUUUCUUGGUUGAGAAGGAGAAAUUGAAGGAGAAGAAACCUACUUCAAUGGAGGCCCUUACCCAAACCCUUCAAGCAAUGCUGCUUGAGUCUAACUGACAUAGUUGAAGGUCUAAAAGCUGGAUAAAGAACAUUCGUUGUACGAGCCAUAGUAAAGAACACAUCUUUUUUGUACCUUCAGUAACUAUGCAUCUAUUGGCUCAAACAAUAGGUAAGCCGAAUUAGUUGAUUUUGUAGUAAUUACGGAAUAUAUUUCCAUGUAGGUAACUGAAACUAAUAGUCGAAUUAUCUGAUAAUUUAUCAGUCAUUUUAUGAUUCCCUUAAUGAAGGAACACCUGAUGUGAGAGAUGCAGCCAAAGCUUUCUCAGCUUUAGCAGCUAGGCUAUUGACAAAGUAACUAUUUCAAGAUUUUCCAUCUACAUCUCGCUGGUUUUAAUUGCCAAUUUAGCUAUUUUGACAUCUUAAUUGCCAAUUUAGCUAUUUUGACAUCUUUGUUAUUUAAAUGGUUUGCAUGAGACCAUUCGAGAGGUGUCAAUAAAAGCUGGAUGAUGUAAGACAAAAGAAGUUUGGUAUCUGAUUUUUGUUAUAGUUAUAUACUGUGAAUUAUAGUAA